CCUACGGGCGGCAGCAGUGAGGAAUAUUGGUCAAUGGACGAGAGUCUGAACCCGCCAAGUAGCGUGAAGGAUGACUGCCCUAUGGGUUGUAAACUUCUUUUAUAUGGGAAUAAAAUGUUCCACGUGUGGGAUUUUGUAUGUACCAUAUGAAUAAGGAUCGGCUAACUCCGUGCCAGCAGCCGCGGUAAUACGGAGGAUCCGAGCGUUAUCCGGAUUUAUUGGGUUUAAAGGGAGCGUAGGUGGAUUGUUAAGUCAGUUGUGAAAGUUUGCGGCUCAACCGUAAAAUUGCAGUUGAAACUGGCAGUCUUGAGUACAGUAGAGGUGGGCGGAAUUCGGGGUGUAGCGGUGAAAUGCUUAGAUAUCACGAAGAACUCCGAUUGCGAAGGCAGUUCACUGGACUGCAACUGACACUGAGGCUCGAAAGUGUGGGUAUCAAACAGGAUUAGAUACCCGGGUAGUC
rnacentral:rRNA from 1 species